rnacentral:rRNA from 1 species
UGGGGGAUAUUGCACAAUGGGCGAAAGCCUGAUGCAGCGACGCCGCGUGGGGGAUGAAGGCCUUCGGGUUGUAAACUUCUUUUGCUCUGAACAAGGCAUGCCUUUGGGGUGUGUUGAGUGUAGGGGUUGAUUAGCGCCGGCUAACUACGUGCCAGCAGCCGCGGUAAUACGUCGGGCGCGAGCGUUGUCCGGAAUUAUUGGGCGUAAAGGGCUUGUAGGUGGCUGGUUGCGUCUGUCGUGAAAGCUCAUGGCUUAACUGUGGGUUUGCGGUGGGUACGGGCUGGCUUGAGUGCAGUAGGGGAGGCUGGAAUUCCUGGUGUAGCGGUGGAAUGCGCAGAUAUCAGGAGGAAUACCGGUGGCGAAGGCGGGUCUCUGGGCUGUUACUGACGCUGAGGAGCGAAAGCGUGGGGAGCGAACAGG